rnacentral:lncRNA from 1 species
ACUUCUGUUGUUACUGUAGGUGCUGCUAUAGGAGAGAGUUGAGACAGACUGCUUUUAUCAGGGACUACAGCCUCCAUCAGAUCAGUCUCUGUGGACACUUCCUGGUUCGUGGUGUCCUCUACUCUGGCCUUCCUAGUAUUACCACAGCUGGACUGGAGUAGUAACUAUCACCCUCCGUAGCCUUGGGUCAAACCAAUCACCUUACCUCCACCUACCUCUGGCUGUUACCACUCUACCUGCCUCCAUUGUCCUGGCUUUUGCCUCCUGGCUCUCACGUCGGUGGGUGGAGCGGUACAGCGGGUCCUCCGGAGGAAAAGUCAUUCAGAGGCGCCGUUUGACAUUUGAUGGCAUCAGCACAAAACAGGCUGAUGGUUCUGCCUCCUGGCAUUCUCCUCCAUAAAAAGGAAGGGGUUUUAGCCAAAAGAUUCACGGUCGUUUCUGACAGAUAACUGCAGCUGGUUAACAUCUGUCUAUUGAUCGUCUUUCUUGUAGAUGUUUCUGUUUUGAUUGUUGUAGACGUGUUGCAUCCAUUCCUGUAGCUGUUUUGUGGGUUUUAUCUGUUUCUUCUGUUUCUUUUGAUUAUUUCUUAGCAUAUCUUUCCUAUGUUUUACAUCUCUUUAUGCUAAUUUCUGUAGCUGUGGAUGUUUUUCAUGCCUUUGGUUGUUUUGUCUUCCUGUGAUUUUGCUGCGUUUAAGUGUUCACUUUGUGUCUUUGUGGAUUUAUUGCAUAUCUUUUUGUCUGUUUACACCUGUGGUGGAAAUGUCUCAUAAAGAUAAGAUUUGUCUUUUGUGUGAUUUAUUCUAAAAAUAAAGGAAAAUAAAAAUAAUGGGAAAGCA